rnacentral:misc_RNA from 1 species
AAUUAUCAAAGAUAUGGUUAAAAA